rnacentral:rRNA from 1 species
CCCCACUAUGCCUAAUCGUAAACUUUUAUUUACACUUAAAUCGCCAGGGAACUACGAGCUAAGCUUAAAACCCAAAGGACUUGACGGUACCCCAUAUCCCCCUAGAGGAGCCUGUCCUAUAAUCGAUAAUCCACGUUUAACCUCACCAUUUUUUGUUAAUCAGCCUGUAUACCUCCGUCGCCAGCUUACCACGUGAGCGAUUAUUAGUGAGCUUAAUGUUAUUACACCAGUACGUCAGGUCAAGGUGCAGCGAAUGAAAUGGGAAGAGAUGGGCUACACUUUCUAUUUUAGAAGAAACGAAAAACUAUUUAUGAAAAUCUAGUUAGAAGGCGGAUUUAGCAGUAAAAAGAAAUCAGCACGUUCAUUUUAACUCGGCACUGGGGUGUGU